rnacentral:antisense_RNA from 1 species
CGUUAUGGCGGCUGUGCGUGGGCGGGCUUCGGCCCGGCCGGUUUCCUAUUUGGCCGGUUUCUCACCCCGCGCGCAGUCGCCCCCAAU